rnacentral:rRNA from 1 species
UACGGGGGGUGCGAGCGUUGUCCGGAAUCACUGGGCGUAAAGGGCGCGUAGGUGGUCUUAUAAGUCAGUGGUGAAAUCUCUGGGCUUAACCCAGAAAUUGCCAUUGAUACUGUAGGACUUGAGUACAGUUGCCGUUGGCGGAAUAUGACAUGUAGUGGUGAAAUACAUAGAGAUGUCAUAGAACACCGAUUGCGAAGGCAGCUAACGAAACUGUAACUGACACUGAGGCUCGAAAGUGCGGGGAUCAAACAGG